CCUACGGGGGGCAGCAGUCGAGAAUCAUUCACAAUGGGGGAAACCCUGAUGGUGCGACGCCGCGUGGGGGAAUGAAGGUCUUCGGAUUGUAAACCCCUGUCAUGUGGGAGCAAAUUAAAAAGAUAGUACCACAAGAGGAAGAGACGGCUAACUCUGUGCCAGCAGCCGCGGUAAUACAGAGGUCUCAAGCGUUGUUCGGAAUCACUGGGCGUAAAGCGUGCGUAGGCUGUUUCGUAAGUCGUGUGUGAAAGGCGCGGGCUCAACCCGCGGACGGCACAUGAUACUGGGAGACUAGAGUAAGGGAGGGGGAACCGGAAUUCUCGGUGUAGCAGUGAAAUGCGUAGAUAUCGAGAGGAACACUCGUGGCGAAGGCGGGUUCCUGGACAUUAACUGACGCUGAGGCACGAAGGCCAGGGGAGCGAAAGGGAUUAGAUACCCUUGUAGUC
rnacentral:rRNA from 1 species